CUCUUUUCCAGUCUCUAUGCUUUGUAGCUGGGUAAACUGAGGCCCAGGGAAGAGAUGAGACUUGCAGAUGGACGUGCGACCAAUUGAUGGGAAACUGGAACCCUGGAUUCUAGCUGGUUAUCACAGGUUGCCUGCAGUGAGAUUCUUGGUUUCUUAACGAACACAGAAAUGUUAUGGGAAUGUGUUUUUGUUAUAAUCCCAGGUGUAGGACAUGGGGUGGCUUUGGGCUGUCUGCAGCAGCUGACUGUGAUUUGCCUCGUGCUCUGGCAGCGGCAUGAUUUUGCUAGCUACAGAUUCUUUUGCAAAUGUAUGACAUUUGGAAUUCUGGGGACUCUUGAGUGGGUGCAAAAAUGCUAGAGCCCUGAGAGGGGCUGUGAUGGGGGAUGUUGCUGCCACUCCUCCUCUUCCUCCUCCUUCUGCUCCUCCCCCAUUCUUGCUCCUUCCGCUCCCCUUGCUCCUUCUGCUCCUCCUCCUGCUUCUCCUCUUGCUCUCCCUGCUCCCCCUCUUGCUCCUUCUGCUCCUCCUGCUCCUCUUCUUGCUGCUCCCCCUGCUCCUUCUCCUCCUGCUGGUUGCUGGUAUCCUGAAGAUGAAGAUCAAACUUGCCCCAAGGAUGCCCCUAAUCAGCAGGAAGCAGCUUAACUUGAUAUGGACACCUCCUUUCUCCUCCAACCUUCUUCCUCUCUUACCUAGUGUUGGGGGAUUGGAAGGGAUAAGGGUGGAGCAAGGCGUUAGAAAAAGGAAACGCAUAAAGGGAACCCUUGGCCAUCAGUGGAGCCCACAGGGCUGGGACUGGGAGCCUUCAGCACAGGAUGGGAUGGAAGUGUGGUUAUCAGGUGAGGUACCUCACUGAGUCUGGUACCCACUGGCCAUAGCAGCUCCGAAUGCAAAUGCAUCGGGCCGUGGACCACGGACGGACAUCGCUGACAAAUGACAUCAUUCUCCCAUGAUCAAACCCUCCUGGCACUGGAUGUGUUUGCUGUGAUGCCUGGGGCGAGGCCCCGUUCGCCACAAGGGGCGAGAUUAGUCCUAACACAACUGGACUGCAGAUAGAUGAGACCUGGUUCUGGAUUCAUCAGCUGGGAGGCAGAAGAGUGAGGGCUGCAGACAGGAGACUUGAGGGGUCAUAGAGUGGCCCAGGGUAGACCUGGGGACUCUGGUGUUGGGUUUUAUAAAAAAGAAAGGCAACCCAGGGAUACGUUUGGUAGAGGCAUGGUAUGGUGCAGGGGAAGUGGGUGCCUCUGUGGGUGUGCACCUCUCCCCUGAGGUACCAUAGUAUAGAAUUAGAGUUUAGGGCACAGAGAGGGAAGUUGAGGGGGUAGUAGAGACAGAGAAAGGUAGAGAGAAAGGGUCAGGGAAGGGGGAGAGGGAGAGUAGUAGAGGCUGGCCGUGAACAUGGAGAGAGAAGGGAGGGGAGGGGAAUGGGAGUAAGGGAGUAAGAGGCUGAGGAGGGGGCAGGCAGCCCCUUUUAUACUGAGGCCAGCACACCUGGCUGUUGCCAGGUAACUGUGGGGUGGAGCCUAGAAGAAAUGCUAACAUCUGGUAUCCCAGGAUUCCCUGCUCUUCCCAGCUGUGUUCAGCAGAUCUGCUCACACUCCCUAUCUACUGAGGAAGAAUCAGAGAGGUGAAUGGACUUGCCUAAGGUCACACACAGAGGCAGAGCCUGACUCAGCAGCCCAUCCUGGCUCUACCAGUGAUGGCCAGGUGGCUGGGUGGCAGGUGGGCGUGGAUGUGUGGUAGGAACUCAGAAGGGAAAGCAGAGUAGACCAAUUGAGGAUGGGCUGGGGAGAUGGAGAGCCUUUGGUGUCAGAGACUUGGCGUGGAUAUCAGAAUCUGCCAGUGAUGUCUACUCACCGAGUCUCGGUUUCCUCAUCUGUAGUUUGGGUGCAAUGAAUAUCGACUGGUGUGAGCUUUUUGAGGUUUCAGUGAUGUCUUGUGAGAUGUGUGUAGUGAACGAUUCUUCUGUCACCAUCCUGGUGGUUGUCUGGGGACUCAGUUAAGCUUUUGGAUUGCUAUGAACCCUAUGAACCCCAAUGACUCCUUCAUCAAGACGCAGAUGGGUUGGGUUCUCCUGCCCUCAGGAACGGGCAAUCGGGAAGGCUUGAUAUUUGAGGUCAUCAGACUGUUGGCUGGGACACAGGAGUGAUGACGUCCCUGUCACAUGGCAGGCUGGCUAGCAUCGGUAUUAUUGGCCAUGGAAGCCAUCCAGUCAGGGGUGGGUUCCAGGGCACAGUGUGGCUCCAGCUGCUGUUCCUGCCUCAGCUGCUCAAGUCUGAGUGGGUGCUGUGGCCUAGAUAAUGUCACCUCCACCUUCCCCAGAGGUGACCAUGCCUCAUACCUGAGUACUUUGUGCACACGUUCCUUUCUAUAGCAAAAGGAAUUUUUGUGUGUCUGUGAGUUGAUAACCGGUCUUAGGCUAGGAGCCGAUCCUAGAUAGAGAGUCAUAGUGCAGUGACAGGUGUCUCCCUAAGCACACACCUGGGGUGGGAGGGGCCUGGUCCGUGGGAGGGGCCUGGGUUCAUGGGAGGGGCCUGGGUCCUAGUUGUCAGUCAGAACACCUGUGACUGCUUCUCCCAGAUGAUUUGGAAAGAGACUUCAUUGAGAAAGAUGAUUUUAGUGGCAGAGGUAGUGUAGACAACAG
rnacentral:lncRNA from 1 species